rnacentral:rRNA from 1 species
AAGUGCCUACGGGAGGCAGCAGUGAGGAAUAUUGGUCAAUGGCCGAGAGGCUGAACCAGCCAAGUCGCGUGAGGGAUGACGGCCCUACGGGUUGUAAACCUCUUUUGCCGGGGAGCAAAGAGCGGGACGCGUCCCGCCUCGAGAGUACCCGGAGAAAAAGCAUCGGCUAACUCCGUGCCAGCAGCCGCGGUAAUACGGAGGAUGCGAGCGUUAUCCGGAUUUAUUGGGUUUAAAGGGUGCGCAGGCGGAAGCGCAAGUCAGCGGUAAAAUUGCGGGGCUCAACCUCGUCGAGCCGUUGAAACUGG